CGUUCCGAAUUCGAAUCCUCCGGCCAACGCCUCUCGUCGGCGCGCUUCCUGUCUCGCCGCGGAAGCUAUGGGGAUAUUCGAACCGUACAGAGCGAUCGGAUACAUCACCGCCGGCGUCCCCUUCUCCGUCCAGCGCCUCGGCACCGAGACCUUCGUCGCCGUCGCCGUCGGCAAGGCUUUCCAAGUGUACAACUGCGCGAAGCUGAGCUUGGUGCUUGUUGGUCCCCAAUUGCCAAAGAAAAUACGGGCUCUCGCAUCCUAUCGAGAAUAUACUUUUGCUGCUUAUGGAAGUGACGUUGGUGUAUUUAAGCGUGCUCACCAGGUAGCAACUUGGAGCAGGCAUACUGCUAAAGUUUGUUUGCUGCUGUUGUUUGGAGAGCACAUAUUGAGUGUUGAUGUUGAUGGUAAUGUGUACAUAUGGGCGUUCAAAGGAAUGAAUGAGAACCUUUCACCAGUGGGACAUGUCUUGUUGGAUAGCAAUUUUAGUCCUAGCUGUAUAAUGCAUCCAGACACUUACUUAAACAAGGUUAUUCUGGGAAGCCAGGAAGGGCCUUUGCAGCUUUGGAACAUAAGCACUAAGACAAAGCUCUAUGAGUUCAAGGGAUGGAAUUCAUCUGUUUGCAGUUGUGUUUCAUCACCUGCUUUAGAUGUUGUUGCAGUUGGCUGUGCUGAUGGCAAGAUUCACGUUCACAAUAUUCGCUAUGAUGAAGAAUUGGUUACAUUUUCACAUUCAAUGAGAGGUUCUGUGACCGCCUUGUCUUUCAGCAUAGAUGGGCAGCCUCUUCUAGCUUCUGGUAGUUCAUCGGGUGUUGUCAGCAUAUGGAAUCUUGAGAAAAGAAGGCUCCAGUCGGUCAUAAGAGAUGCGCAUGACGGUUCAAUAAUUUCUCUCCACUUCUUUGCUAAUGAGCCUGUGCUAAUGAGUUCAUCUGCAGAUAACUCAAUUAAGAUGUGGAUUUUCGACACAAGUGAUGGAGAUCCUCGUCUAUUACGCUUUCGGAGUGGUCACAGUGCUCCUCCACUUUGCAUAAGGUUCUAUGCUAAUGGUAGGCAUAUACUAUCAGCUGGUCAGGAUCGUGCUUUCCGGCUUUUCUCGGUUGUCCAGGAUCAGCAAAGUCGAGAGCUAUCUCAGCGUCAUGUAUCCAAGCGAGCAAAAAAACUGAAGUUAAAGGAAGAAGAGAUAAAGCUGAAGCCUGUUAUAGCAUUUGAUGUUGCUGAAAUUAGGGAGCGGGACUGGUGCAACGUAGUGACAAGUCAUAUGGAUACUCCACAGGCAUAUGUGUGGAGACUUCAAAAUUUUGUCAUAGGGGAGCAUAUUCUGAGACCAUGCCCUGACAACCCCACACCUGUUAAGGCUUGCACGAUUAGUGCAUGUGGAAAUUUUGCCAUUUUGGGAACAGCAGGUGGUUGGAUCGAGCGAUUCAACCUUCAAUCAGGAAUAAGUCGAGGAAGUUACAUAGAUCAGUUAGAAGGAACAAACCGUGCCCAUGAUGGUGAAGUGGUUGGAGUGGCUUGUGAUUCCACAAAUACUCUCAUGAUAAGUGCUGGUUAUGCUGGGGACAUUAAGGUCUGGGAUUUCAAGGGACGUGAAUUGAAAUCUAGAUGGGAAAUUGGUUCUUCUUUGGUAAAAAUUUCUUACCAUCGUCUGAAUGGUCUUUUGGCUACGGUUGCAGAUGAUUUUAUUAUUCGUCUUUUUGAUGCUGUUGCCCUAAGAAUGGUCCGAAAGUUUGAAGGUCAUACAGAUCGAAUUACAGAUUUGUGCUUUAGUGAGGAUGGGAAAUGGCUCUUAUCUUCCAGUAUGGAUGGCAGUCUAAGGAUUUGGGAUAUUAUUUUAGCUAGACAAGUAGAUGCAGUAUAUGUUGAUGUCUCCAUCACAGCGUUAUCUCUGUCACCAAAUAUGGAUAUUUUGGCCACAACACAUGUUGAUCAAAAUGGGGUCUAUCUCUGGGUUAACCAAUCAAUGUUUUCUGGAGGUUCUGAUAUCAAUUUGUAUGCAAGUGGGAAAGAAGUUGUGACCGUUAAGUUGCCAUCAGUAUCAUCAGUGGAAGAUUCUCAAGUUGAAGACGCUAACGAGCCUACUAUUAGACAUUCAGUGUCUAAAGAUGUCCCUUCGUUCCAGCCUUUGCUUGAGCAAAUUCCAGAUCUAGUUACACUCUCACUGUUGCCGAAGAGCCAGUGGCAGAGCUUGAUUAAUCUAGACAUUAUAAAGGUUCGCAAUAAGCCAGUCGAGCCUCCCAAGAAACCUGAGAAAGCUCCUUUCUUUUUGCCCUCUAUUCCAUCUCUUUCUGGAGAAAUACUAUUUAAGCCAAGUGAGAUGUCGGAUAAGGGAGACAUGAAAGCUGAUGAAGACAAAUCUAAGAUAACACCUGAAGUGCUGUCAACACAGUUUCUGCAACUGCUUCAUUCAUGUUCAGAGGCCAAAAACUUUUCGCCUUUUACUGCCUACGUCAAAGGGUUAUCUCCCUCAACUUUGGAUUUGGAAAUUCGGAUGCUUCAGAUAAUAGAUGACGAUGACGAUGACGCUGAUGGUGAUGAUCUACAAGAUGUUGACAAGAGACGAGAGUUGCAUUCAAUUGAAUUACUUAUGGAUUACUUUACACAUGAAAUAUCGUGCCGGAGUAAUUUUGAGUUUGUACAAGCUCUAGUCAGGUUGUUUUUGAAGAUACAUGGGGAGACAAUUAGACGCCAGUCAGUGUUGCAGAAUAAAGCAAAGGUCCUUUUGGAGACUCAAUGCUCUGUAUGGCAGGGAGUGGAUAAGUUAUUUCAAGGUGCUAGAUGCAUGCUUGCUUUUCUUAGCAACUCACAGUUUUAGUUACGUUUAUGUACAUUAUAGCAAGGGAAGAUGUUAUUGAUGGAAAAAGUAGCUGGAUCUUGUCCUCCAGGCUUCUGUUCAGGAGUUGUGGCUUUUGGUCUAUAGGCACUGGUAUUAUACCCGGACUGGACUGGCCAGUUCAACCGGUUUGAACUGGGAACUGGCUGGCGAUUGAACCAUUGGAGCUCCAGUAUCAAGUUCACCCGAGUCUGCCAUAUGCGCGGACUUUUUCAUGCGUCUAAUGGUCACAAACAUUAUAUGUGUAUCGUUUUUGCUUGCAUUAUUAGCGCAUGAUUACAUCUCUCUAAUGGUGGGUUUUAGUCUUCACAUGUUAUCUCAGCUGUUUUGGUGCCUUGAUGUUGUUCGAGUAUAUCAAUGAAUAUCCUCCUAAAUGAAUCAAGACAGCCAUGGGCAUCGACAUCAA